GACAGAGGGGGCAAGCGUUGCUCGGAAUCACUGGGCGUAAAGGGCUCGUAGGCGGCCAGCUAAGUCAGACGUGAAAUCCCUCGGCUUAACCGGGGAACUGCGUCUGAUACUGGAUGGCUUGAGAUUGGGAGAGGGAUGCGGAAUUCCAGGUGUAGCGGUGAAAUGCGUAGAUAUCUGGAGGAACACCGGUGGCGAAGGCGGCAUCCUGGACCAACACUGACGCUGAGGAGCGAAAGCCAGGGGAGCAAACGGG
rnacentral:rRNA from 1 species